rnacentral:tRNA from 1 species
GGGCGUUUAGCUCAGUGGUAGAGCGCCCCGCUUACACCGGGAAGGUCGUAGGUUCAAGUCCUGCAACGCCCA